UAAUGUUUUUACAAAACAUUAUUAAUAGAACACCACAUAUACUGUAAUAACAGCUGCUUUUUCAAACGCCAAACAGAGAGAGAGUGACACAGACUGAGUCAUCUCCAUCCAACUCUCAAUCUGCAUCAGUGUAUUGGCACUAUGAUGAUUUGCACUGUGUGUUCUACUGAAACAAAUGCAGUUUGGGAGUUUAUUAAGUAGUCAUUUAUGUAGUAUUUCCACUGCUUCUGUUUUGAUUUGCUGCCUGCCUUGCAUGUCAGUGUCUGUCUACCCUGUGUGGCCACUUGCUGCUUUCACUCCAGUUAAGUCUUUACUCCGGACACCCCCACCCCCCACCUCUCCACUUCCACUAUCCCUACCCUCCUCACAUGCAUCGACCUCUUUGGGACAAGCUUCACUUGUGGUCUUGCACGCGGUCAAAUACAGUCUUAACAUAUUCAAGGAAUCACCCCUGUCACAUUGCACGAUCACGGACACAAAUGAUGCAUUUCUAAGUAGCCCCGAAACUUGGACUCAUCCUUGGCUGACUAACUGUUAGGUACCGAGGUGCGAGUAGCAGGGAAGGAAAGUUAUGCAAUUCAGAUGUGUUGUUGUGUGCAGCAGGAAACAGCGGCACUCGCUGAGAAGUUAAGAUGGGGUACGAGCGAGGCGAGCAUGUGGUGUACAGCAUGAGUGCUUUGUGUACGCAGGCACCCACUCAACUUUACGCAUGGAGACGCGUUUCGCUAAAGCUCUCCAACUGAUACCUGAAAAUCAUCUAACAUAAGGAGCUAAUGCUAGAAGGUGGUAAAGAAGAAUGUGAGAUUUCUUGUUGCUCUGUAAAGCGCAUUCGAAUGGAGGAGGGGAUACAGGGAAACAGCAGCCCCGCCUGCUCAUGACUAUUAGGCUACAGUUGUGCAAUAGCCGUCAGCCUGAAAGGACAUUCGGUGACCGACGGCCACAAGGGGCCACUGGCUGAAAUCAGUAACAAAGAGCUAAUGACUAUGAUUUAACAUUGAUAGUGUUGACGAGAGUUUUGAUCAUUAGACAGGAAAGCAGAAAAGGCUUUUAAAUCAGUGAUGGCGACUGUAUUGGAGUCUAAAGAGGAGUAAUUAAACAUUUAAGAAUGUUUCUUCAAUUGAAGCACUUUGGAAAUAAUGGUAGAUUGUCCCUUUUCAAUAACAUUCCUCACCUGAAAAGUAAAUCAAUACUUAAAAAUCAAUCUUUCAAAUUAAUAUUUUAUUCACAGGCAAACAAAACUAAAACAAAAGUCUUACAAAUCUGAUUACAAAUUUUUCAGCUCUGGUACGGUCAUCAGGGCAGUCAGUGGGUGACAAGAGGAUCACUGUGGGAUAAAGUGGAGAUCAAAGAACGACCAUCAAGUCAGCUGUCUGAGAGAGACCGUUGGGUUGUCACUCUUGGCCUGUGUGCAAUUCCUAACUUUUGCCAGGCUACAAAGUUCUUUUGGCACAAACAGAAAAGCAUGUGAGAGAAAUGAAGGUGGUAAAGCAGUUUUUACAUAUAGCCAGGUUGAAGAUAGUGUCAACUAAGUUCUUUUUUUCCCAAACCGCAAUCCAUGUCAACAAAUACUCCUAAUAAAUUACGUGUUUAAAAUAUCA